CUCACUUGUGAAACAGGCAUUAUAGUACAUGAGAGUGUUUAAUGGUUCAUAAUGCUCACAUGGCCUCAUUUUGAGACAGGGGUAACUGCAGCCUGGAGCAAUGGGCGUGCCGAAAGGUAGGGGCGUGCCAAAAGGUAGGGGCGUGCCAAAAGGUUUCUCAUUGGUCAAAUGAGUUUUACUCUGUUGGCCAAUCAGCGGUAAAUAUACAUGUACUAAUUUCCUUUAGACAAGAGAAGGUGGCGGCGAUAAGACGUGAGGUGUCCAACUAAUGCAGAGUAUUCAAGUUGCCAACACACUGGUUGUGAAGUACCCUUUCAAGAGAAAUAUAAAAGGAAAUGACUGAAACUUGUGUUGGGGAGGAUUCAGUGUCUGUUGAGGUCCAUGUGAAUGUGCUACAAAGUGAGUAUCAGAAAACACAUCCAGACACCUGGACUGUCAAAGACCACACGGCACGAACAUUCUCCUGGAGACGCUGAGAAAGCACGGAAGGAAUGUCUGUGGAGGAUGUACUUAAAAACACCCAUACUUAAGAACACCUGCUGGAGGGGACCCUGCUACACUCUUUCCUACCAUACACCUGAUGGAUUCUGACUGGAAAAUGGUAAUCAUAGGAGGGUUCAGUGUGGUGACAGAAGAUGGAAUAGACGUGUGUCAGUGCACCAGCCUUGAUGAAGCCUUCAUAACAGCCUUCUGGAUGUAUUUUGCUUUCAACAUUACAUAUCCACCACACCUGAGAAAGACACUGACUUUCCUUCAGAGGCACAGUCAACAUUGUGGAAGAUGGAGACAAGCACUGCCAGUAACUUUCCUCUGAGUGAUCAGCCUUUUGUAUUAGAUCCUCAUGCCUCAACUGUACCAUUACACAAAGUGCACUCGAAGGACAUUCACUCUUUUGAAGUUAAUCGAACAUGUUGGAGUUGUACAUACACAUGAACCAAAUUUUAGUAUAACCUGUGGUAUAGAUGAGUGCCAAUCAACUUUUUUGUGAUUCCAUUCUUUUAGAAAACAUGCACAGGAAUCAUAUGUACUUUUGGUAAUAAAAAUGACUCUCAGUGAAGAGUCUGCAGUACAAUUAUAUUAUAAUAUAAUGGAGAAGGGUCUGGCUGCAGACUUGCACUUGCACUCUCAGACACUUGCGCUUCUGCUAGUGACAACACUUGCAGUCUUUUUUUUAUUUGUAUUUAGUUAUAUCUAUCUAUUUUUUUUUUUUU
ensembl:lncRNA